rnacentral:rRNA from 1 species
AAUCAACGCUGGCGGCGUGCCUCAGACAUGCAAGUCGAACGAUUAAAGCUCUCUUCGGAGAGUGUAUAGAGUGGCGCACGGGUGAGUAACACGUAAGUAAUCUACCUUCGAGUGGGGAAUAACGUCCGGAACGGACGCUAAUACCGCAUAAUGCAGCGGCAUCGCAAGAUGACAGUUGUUAAAGAUUUAUCGCUUGAAGAGGAGCUUGCGGCAGAUUAGCUAGUUGGUAAGGUAACGGCUUACCAAGGCUACGAUCUGUAUCCGGUCUAAGAGGACGGUCGGACACACUGACACUGGAAUAACGGGUCAGACUCCUACGGGAGGCAGCAGUCGGGAAUUUUGGG